GAUGAAGAACGUAGCGAAAUGCGAUAAGUAAUGUGAAUUGCAGAAUCCAGUGAAUCAUCGAAUCUUUGAACGCACAUUGCGCCCGCCAGCAUUCUGGCGGGCAUGCCUGUUCGAGCGUCAUUUCAACCCUCGACCUCCCUUUGGGGAAGUCGGCGUUGGGGACCGGCAGCACACCGCCGGCCCUGAAAUGGAGCGGCGGCCCGUCCGCGGCGACCUCUGCGUAGUAAUCCAACUCGCACCGGAACCCCGACGCGGCCACGCCGUAAAACACCCAACUUCUGAACGUUGACCUCGAAUCAGGUAGGACUACCCGCUGAACUUAAGCAUAUCAAUAAGCGGAGGA
rnacentral:misc_RNA from 1 species